GCAGCCACAUGACCGGGCGGGCCGCCUCCAGGCUCCGCUCGGCUACAAAUGCAGCCUGGCGGCGGCUGGAGCCACCAACCGACCGCCUUCGCUCGCUGCCUUGGCUUGGCUGGGCGCUGCAUCUGCUGCUGGCGCGGGCAUUGCCGUGGCGGCCGCGUGGGCGCGAUGGGCGUGCGGCGCUGGUUGCUGGCGCUGCUCCUGCUGCUGUGCUUGGCGCUCGGCUUGGCCUCCAGAGGUCCAGUCUCUGAAGUAAGGGAUGGGAAGGAAC